GCCGGCAGUUUUUGGAAGUCGCCGCGUCGUACAGCGACACGUGUGUGAACACGCGUACCGUUCGUGGUACGCACCUGAAACGUCGUGUCGUGAGACGCACUCGAAACGUCGAACGCGAACGAUCAACUGCCGAGAUCGCGAAUCCAAUCGUCCUACUUCACACUCCGGCAUUAUUAGUAUUACUUUUCCAGUGCGAGCAUCGCUACGUGGGACACACAAGCCGAACAUAAUUCACUGGCAGGUUUUGAUGCGCGCGUGAUCAGGAUGACGAGGACGAGAUCCGCGAGGAGGGAAGCGGCCGACGGAGAGCCGGGUGGCGCAGAUCAAAGAGUCGCUGUGGCACGCGGUUGAUCGGGAUCGUCGCUGGAAUCUAUCGUUGAGUAUAAAUCAUGGGUAACGGAACAUCCUGUUGCACGUACAACAACAAAAAGGUAUGUAGGACAAAUAUAUAUAUUUAUUGUUCGAGAUAUGUCGCUGCAGAUAACAUCGAACGACGAGUUGUGUCGCCGAUAUUUCCUAGAUUUAUAAAAGAUGGCACCACGCUGAGCCUUUCUGAAACGAUCAUAUAUACGUACAAGCGACCUUUUAAGCGCUUGUCCUUCUUUCACGUCUUUUCACGGAAUCGCGAAAAGAAAGAUUGGUCGAAUUAGCAGCCAGAUGUUAAUUAUUUCAAAGUUACCUAAUUUACCGUAUAGUGGCCCAUUUUUUAUUUUUGAUCGGAAAAAUAUAUUUUUUGGCCUUUAUUCUUUUAAUACACAUACAAGAUUUGAAUUACUGAAGAUAAGUGUUUCGUAGCAUGUCCAUUUUUUGACGUGUUGAAUAAAAAAAAAUUCAUGUUCCCUAUCGGGAAAGAAAAUCUGCAAUAAUUUAUUGUUUGGUAUGUGCCAAAGAUUCAGCUUUCUCUAGAAGUUUUUGUUUCAAUCGGUAAAUUUUAUAGAAACUUAGAAAAUUAGAAAACAAUUUGCAAAAAAAAAUUAAAAAGACGCCUCGACAGACGUUUGCAGAAUUAGGUACGUACGUCACGAAGCCAUUAAGUUUAUUUCUAGAAUCGCAGAGCGGUCUAGAGCUUACAGUAUUCGGUGCUAAGUGCGUACUGAUGCGUAUGCAGAUACUUGUGAUCUACAAUAGUAUCUAUAGUUGUUACUUUUUUUUUCACGAUGAGAGAGGAAUCCGCCGGUGGCAGCUGCUGUGAGUAGCGAUUGAGGUUGCGCAGUCGGCAUCGAUCGGCAUCGUUAGAUCUAUCGACGUGCGUACGAGGUAAAAACGCGCGUUCUAUAAGGAACGAUCCAUGGAAAGCGGAAUAAAUAAUGCUAGUGAAGGUAUAAACAUACCUUCACUUCUUGGUCGGCUCCAUUACUGGCGCGAUGUAGCUCCGUAAUCGGGCUUAAAAACUUCAUUCGUAAAUCCCAUUAUCCUCAUCACGUUGACGAUAGUUAUGUCGUGAGCGGAAUAAAAAUAGGAUCGUUUUAGCUUGGGACCGGUCUUACUUUCUUCCUGUGGCCUAAAAUUUCUUUCAGCAACGUGCCUGAAAAACAUCGGUACAGUUUACAAUACAAGAUCUUGCGAUGCAAUUUAAAGGGUACAUUCGCAGCGAUAUUUUUCGUCGCUUAUUGGCAGCUUCGGCUGUCGUCUCGUUACCGAAUCGCCCCUCUGCCAAUCUCGUGGCUGAGCCACCGAUUGCCGAGAUCGUCACCGAUUGCACUCGUAAUUACUGUAGUAAUAGUUUGCGCAUUAUUGUAGUAUCCGAGCGUAAAUGUUGGGCGAACGUAAUUAAUUAAAGCCGCGCCUAUCUAGGGGCAAUAAGCUCCGUAUUUCUUGAUUUUACUGACAACUGCAAAUUAGCACUCAUUUAGCAAUCGCUAAAUGAGUAAAGUUAUUUUAUUAUUACGUGUACUUUUUACACAUUUAAAUUAUUUGGAAAUACAUGUGUCCACAUUUAAUACUACAUGUCAUAUUAUACACAGAGAAAUGUGUUAAAUGACACGUUUAAAUAUAAAUUGUAAAUUAAUUUUUUGUAUGCACUAUAAUGUGUUAUUACACGGAAAACUAAAUUACACACAUAAAUGUGUAAUUUUACACAUAUAAGUGUGUAUUUACAAUAUUAUUACAAAUUUGGAUUUGCAGUGAGGCACGAGUAAGCGCGCCACUCUUUUGCACGAUAUCUCUACAUGGCUUUAAUUAACGUGAGACAUUAUUGUCUUACGAUUAAAAACUAAAAAUUAUAUUAUAAAUGAAACAAAACAAAAUGCACUUUAAAGCUAAAAGUUUAUAAGUUUCGUGUGGAAUAAAAUUUACUGUAUUUGCUACAACGUGAAACUCUAGCUACAAAAUCAUUGUUCUUGGUCUCUCUGAUGCCACGUUUCUCGAAAUUGUGAUUUAUUGAUAGCUAAAUUUAAAUAACGGAUUUGUAAUGAGCAGGCUUGUAUUUUAUUGAAAUUAACAUUCUGGAAUCAUGGAAAGAGCAAGUUUCUAACAAAAGAAUACUAAAGUUUUAAAGGAGAUUA